UGGGGAAUCUUGCGCAAUGGGCGAAAGCCUGACGCAGCAACGCCGCGUGGAUGAUGAAGGCCUUCGGGUCGUAAAAUCCUGUUGUAGGGGACGAAGUCUCGCACUCUAACAUAGUGUGAGCUGACGGUACCCUACGAGGAAGCCCCGGCUAACUACGUGCCAGCAGCCGCGGUAAUACGUAGGGGGCGAGCGUUGUCCGGAAUUAUUGGGCGUAAAGAGCUCGUAGGCGGCGUUUCAAGUCAGGUGUGAAAGCCGACGGCUUAACCGGAGGACUGCACUUGAUACUGGAGCGCUUGAGGUAGGCAGAGGAAGGUAGAAUUCCCGGUGUAGCGGUGAAAUGCGUAGAUAUCGGGAGGAAUACCAGUGGCGAAGGCGGCCUUCUGGGCCUUACCUGACGCUGAGGAGCGAAAGCUAGGGGAGCGAACGGG
rnacentral:rRNA from 1 species